GCGCGGGUCUUAGACCGCGACGCGGGAAGCACCUCAGGUUGGUUGGAGGGGCCGGGUGAGCCGGAGUGGUUCCCGGACCCGCGCCCCCGAGCCCUCGGACUAAGCUGGGCGGCCUCUGAGGGGCGCCGGGCGGAGAACUGUCCUUACGACAGUGGCCGGAAGGGCAGCGUUUUGCGACGGAGCCCGAAGAGAGAACGGCCUCCGCGAAGCCAGGCCGUCCGAGGAAGAAGACCCUUUAACUGAUUUUGUUCCAGACUCGACUGGCUCUCCGUUGUCAGUAGUGCUGCUGUUGCGGCAUCCAACUCAGGAGCACAGUCAUUCCUAGAAAAGCAUGAUGACUGUAGACCUGAAGGUGGCGGAGCACUUGAGCCCUCAAACCAGGCCUCUGUGGGAGAGCAAGGAACCUGUGACAGCGAGCGCCAGUCAGCAUAAGAACUAUGCCCCACAGCCAGCCAGUCUCAGUCCUGAGAAGUCUCACCAGCACUUCCGGAGUUUCCUCUAUCAUGAGGCAGCUGGACCCCGUGAGGCUGUUGUCCAGCUUCAGGAAUUAUGCCGCCAAUGGCUGAGGCCAGAGAUUCAUUCAAAAGAGCAGAUCUUGGAGCUGCUGGUGCUAGAGCAGUUUCUGACCAUUCUGCCCAGGGACACCCAGACCCAGAUAAAGAAGCACCAUCUACAGAGCAUCGAGGAGGCUGUGGUCCUGGUGGAACGCUUGCAGGGGGACUCUAGUCAAAGGCAGAAUGGGGUGAGAAGAAAGGUUCCUGAUGUGUACCAUGAGAUGGGGUGAAGGAGGGUAUGUGGGGCCUGGGGCCGUUAAUUGAGAAAGAAGAUGAGCUAGGUGGCCUUUGUGUUGUUCCUUCAGGUAAAGCAGCUACAGCAGGAGCUGAAAGCACAGCCCCGCAGCCACCGUCAGUCCCCAGGUUUCAGAGAUCCUGGCAGAGACUCCCCAGGCCUUCGGGGAGGAGUGGCCUUUUGUUCUCUUGGCAGCGAGGGUGUGUGGAGGGUAACGCCCCUGGCCUGACUUGGUCAAGGAGGAGGUGGGCCUCGGGUUCUCAGAAACAGACAGAAGGCACCAAGGAGGGGCGAGAAGGGGGCAGAGCCGAGAAAGGAGGGCCCCUUAGAGACCAAAGGAGAGUGAGGACGGUAAAGAGAAGGAGAAACCGACCACCAGGGCCAGGGCCAGACCGAGCCGGUGAGGAAGUGAGAAAGCGGUGAGGAAGUGAGAAAGCGGAAUGCAGACAGACUCGUAAAUGGGAAGAUCUGGAGCCCAGCAGAGCAGCUGAGAGGAGAAAGGCCCCGAGGGAUGGCGUCCCCCGUGCCCUGCGUCCAUGGUGGAUCCCGGGCUCUGCUCUGAAGGUUGCAGGGCGUGCCCUUGGGCAGAUGGCAGCACGCCCACUGGCCUCAGGCCUGCGGCGAAUGCGAAUGCCCGUGCGGGGCGGGGGACGGGUUUUGUGUCAGCAUCAUGUGGGGGAGGUUUGAUCCCCCCUUGUCCUCCGCUUCCUCCCCACUUUGUGGGAGCCCCUUCCCUGGCCACGUGGAGAAGCUGGUUGACAGGACAAGGCGUAAAUGCAUGUGUGUCAUCCUUUGAGGAAACAGGAAACAAGACCAGGAUCCGAGUUGAGAGAGAAAGUGUGUGAAGGCAGCCUGUGGUCUGAGGUGGGCUGUGUGCAGGGGGUGGGGGUGCUGCCAGGGAGGGCUGGCGUGGGCCCAGCUUGGUUCCUCUUAGCCCAGUUUGCUGGACGCUGCGGGUAGGUCUUUGUGGGAAACGGGCGGCCCGGGAUCUCUGUGUCUUUUUGUUACUCCCUUGAGUGUCUUCCGCUUCCCACGGUCUGGACUGUGUGCUUUUUCCUCCCUCUCGCCCCCGUCCCCACGCCCAGGGUACGUUCCGGGGCUGAUGAGAGCGGGACUUAUUUCUAGGUUGCAGUCCAUGAGCUGGCAGAGGCGGCCAUGCUCUUGGGAGAAACAGCAGAGGCCUCGGGCUUCAGGCCGAAGCCAGCAGAGUCCCAGCCAGUGGGAAUGUCCCCGGAGGAAGAAUUUGGGGGUGUACAGCAGGGCCUACAGGAACCGCUGAGCGGGAGCAGGCCCACAGAGACGGAGCCCGUGUGUGAGAGUGCAGUGCCUGCUCACCAGAUCCUAGCCUUUCCUGAACAGACAAACAGCAGAGACUGGACAGUGGCACCUGAGCUCUUCUUGCCCGAGGCCCAGAGCUUGUUGACAUUUGAAGAAGUAGCCAUAUAUUUUUCCCAGGAGGAAUGGGAGCUACUGGAUCCCACUCAGAAGGCCCUCUACAAUGAUGUAAUGCACGAAAACUAUGAGACUGUCAUCUCUGUAGAGCUUGUUGACAUUUGAAGAAGUGGCCAUGUAUUUUUCCCAGGAGGAAUGGGAGCUACUGGAUCCCACUCAGAAGGCCCUCUACAAUGAUGUAAUGCACGAAAACUAUGAGACUGUCAUCUCUGUAGCAUUGUUUGUGUUCCCCAAACCUAAUGUGAUCGCCUGUCUAGAGCAAGGUGAAGAGCCAUGGGUUCAAAGAUCCCUGGAGUUCAAGGACAGUUCUGAAGAGCUACCUGCUGCAGGGCUAAAGCUCAAAAAGGACACUGAAAAUCAUCAGCCUGUAUGUCUUUCUGACUUAGAAAUACAAGCAUCAGUAGCGAUAGCAUCCAGAAAGGCCAAGUUGAAAGUUCCCCAGAAAACAGUGACCAAAGAAAAUCAUGGUGAUAUGCACAGGGUGGGGAAAUGGAACCGAGAUUUUCCAGUGAAGAAGAAAAAGAAACUUUCAACCUGGAAACAAGAGCUGCUGAAACUUAUGGAUCGUCACAAAAAGGAACGUGCAGGGGAGAAGGCUUUUAAAUGCCAGGAAUGUGGGAAAAGCUUCAGAGUUAGCUCUGACCUUAUUAAACACCAAAGAAUUCACACCGAAGAAAAACCGUAUAAAUGUCAGCAGUGUGAUAAGAGGUUUAGAUGGAGUUCAGAUCUUAAUAAGCACCUAACAACACACCAAGGAAUAAAACCAUAUAAGUGCUCAUGGUGUGGGAAAUGCUUCAGUCAAAAUACCAAUCUUCACACACACCAGAGAACUCACACUGGAGAGAAGCCCUUUACAUGUCACGAAUGUGGGAAGAAAUUCAGUCAAAAUUCGCAUCUUAUUAAACACCGGAGAACCCACACGGGUGAGCAGCCUUAUAGCUGUAGCACGUGCAGGAGAAAUUUCAGCAGGCGCUCAAGCCUUCUUAGACACCAGAAACUCCACCAGUAAAGGAGAGCUUUUUCAGGAUCCUCAGUCUGAAGAAAUUCACCAAGUGGAGCUUGACCCUAAAGUUACGAAAAAUACAAAAUUAUAAAGUGUGAAGAAUUUUUCAACAUUGUAGUUUUUCAUCAGGAAACUUUGGUGAUACAAACAAGUUUCACAGAAGGGAUCCAGGUUGACACUGCAAGAGAUGCGUUAGUAGUUGCACUACUUGGUGAUUUUACUGAAAACUUUCAGCGAAUUCUGUAGCAAGAGAAGUGUUCUAAGAACAUUCUGAGUAAACAAAAAGGCUGUUUAGGAAUUAUAUUUGACCGAGUCACAAAUUCAGCUUCCAGAGGUAGAUGUGGCCAUGAAUUGGUCUUCUCUGGUCACAGAGGUUAAAGAUUGUUGGUUUGCAUUGGUCUCCCCAGCCUCGCUCAAACAUGUAUGAUAGAAACAUUUGUAUCAUGGUCUUCACAAACAAAAAGCAAUAAUGUACAUGCGUAAUUGCAUAGUAUUGUCUUCCAAGUUAAAUAAUUUCAGUAAUCUCUCGACACAGAAAUGAAUUCUAGUGAAAAAUUUUCAAAGAACCAAGUUGGAUUUUCUUACUUUCAUCAUUGGAUGCGGUUCACAAAUUUGGACUUGAUUUGAGUUCUUCACCUUUUUAACAAAUUCAGCUCUUGAAUGCUAACACUUUCUACUGUGACGAAAUCAUAUUUACUUCUACAGGGAGUCUACCAGUUGAAACAUUCACUCUUUUUUGCGUCUGGUGGUGGGUGGAAAAAGAACACCUCUAAGAAGGAGAUUCUUAUGGACACAGGUUAGAAUCGUUAGCCAUGUAAAGAAGAAUUUUCUGCAGUGAGAGAAACUAGACAGCUUAUGUAUCAGUGUCAAUAGGAUGAAACAGCCAUAAAAGUGAGCACUUUUCUGAGACCUCAGUGGAAAUUAAUGGGAAUUCAAAAUCA